rnacentral:piRNA from 1 species
UACCAGUCUUUGGUCUCCAUGACUCUUGA